CGGUGAUUACAAAUGUUGAAUCAGUGAAUCCUAGCAUCUUUGAGAUGGUAUCAACGAAGCCAAAGAAGUAGGAGCUUGUUCUUUUAUAUAACCACAUUCGUUGUUCAGACCACCAGCCAAGGAUUGUGCCCCCACACCACAAGAAUUCAACUAGGUUAUAAAUGUAUUGAGUAGAGAUUACAUAAGCAAAAGGUAGGAACCAUGGGCUUGAGACCUGUGGGAACAAGGAUAUGCCUUUAAGGAGAUAAAGUGAAGGGAUGAUACUAUAAUAUAGUACUAGCAAGCUGGUUGGAGCCCAGAAACAAAAUAAGCAAUACCCCAAUCGCAAGCCGAGGCUAAUCUUUCCAUGGGCAUGCCAUAAAGGACUAUACUUACAAAACAAAAUCUGGAAAUCACCUUCAGCCCAUCUCUUUUGCUGCACCAGUGUCUGAUGCAAGGUAGUUGGUGCAAGACCUGCAAAUGCCUUCCUUUCUGGAUUGAAAUACACUGAUUUCCAUCCUCUGCAUUGGAUUGACAACCCAGUAAUCACGUCUUCGACUGCACACCCGUAUCUCAGCCCCAUCUCAUUUCCCCAUUGUGUGUUUUGCUCAUAAGUACAACUUGCAAGAGACUUUGUUUCUUCUUCUAAUUCUAGUAUACUUUUUAGUCUCUUGUGAUCAUCAUCUUUCUUCCAUUCAAACUUGCAAUCUUUAGUGAAUUUCUUUCCACAAAGAGCAUCUCUUCUAUGAAAGCAGCCAGUUCCAAUGUACAGAGGGCCUCCAAAACUAUCAAUGCCAUGGAACUCCACAUUGAAAGAAGCUCGUAAUGAGUUGCUGUAUAUAUCAUUCUUGGUAAGGUUUUCAAAGU
rnacentral:misc_RNA from 1 species